rnacentral:lncRNA from 1 species
CUUGUAUAUGACCAGGCAAACUUGACACCUGUGGUUUAAGCAUGGAUUGCAAUGUUGCCAUUGGAUCUUCCAACUCACUAGAAGCAAAAUAUGAUUCAUUAAGCUGCAGAUUGCACUCCACUAUCUGGAUCUUCCAGCUUUUCCUUUAAUCUAGGAAAUGCUGGCCUUAGUGCCUCUGGGAAUCUAAGGAACACUUUGUACAUCAUCAAAACUGCCUUCUUUCGCAAUCAUUCAAAGUAAAUAUAUACCUCAGAUUCCAAGUGAAAGCUUUGACUAGCAGCCAAGUAUCCAAUCCUCUUGAAAGUGAAUUUUGAAGAUGACAUGACUUCUAUGAUAUUGAAUCCAGCCCAGCUGAUGUCAUAGCCAAGCAUUUGCAACUACAAAUUAGAGAGUACAAGAUGGAUAAAAAAACCUCUCUCUCUCAAACGUAAAUCCACGACAGUCCCGAGAAAGUAUUUUUAACUGUCCAGCAUUUUCGUGAAAGC